GUGCUUGCCUCAGCAGUACAUAUACUAAAACUGGAACUAUACAAAGAAGAUUAGCAUGGCCCCUGUGCAAGGAUGACACGUAAAUUCAUGAAGUGUUCCAUAUUUUU
rnacentral:snRNA from 1 species